rnacentral:rRNA from 1 species
UACGUAGGGGGCAAGCGUUGUCCGGAUUUACUGGGCGUAAAGAGCGUGUAGGCGGCCAAGCAGGUCCGUUGUGAAAACUGGAGGCUUAACCUCCAGACGUCGACGGAAACCGCGUGGCUAGAGUCCGGAAGAGGAGAGUGGAAUUCCUGGUGUAGCGGUGAAAUGCGCAGAUAUCAGGAGGAACACCUGCGGUGUAGACGGCUUACUGGACCAUAACCGACGCUGAGGCACGAAAGCGUGGGUAGCAAACAGG